UUUGAAACGCGCGAGACGUUGGAAAGUGAAUCGGUAGAAUUGGAGGAUUAUUAGCAUAUAUCUAGUCAUUCUUUGUCAACCUUUGAAGAAAAUAACAGAUUACGAAGAAGGAAUAUCCAGAGGAUCAAUUUACUUCAUAACUGCAGAUAUUAAUGGGAAAAGAGAAGCAGUUCACAGAUAAUGUUGAUGAGUUGAGAUCAGAAGAUUAAAAAAACUCUGGCUGCCAAAAAAAAAAA